rnacentral:lncRNA from 1 species
AGGAAGGAAGGAAGGAAGGAAGGAAGGAAGUUACACAAAUGAACUAUGCUGUAAAGAAGAAAAUGAUGUAUUGUGAAUGCUAAAAAGGUAAACUUGGUCCUGACUGAACCUGAAGUUAUCCCAAUUCAGAUUCAAGGAAUGCUUAUUUUCUAUAUAAGAUCAUAUCUUACGUGCCAGGAAAUUAAAGAGAAAUGUCAAGCUAGAAUGACAUAGUCUUUGCAGAAGCUGAA